GUCAAGUGCUGGCCUGUCAUAUGAGUGAUCUACGAUUGUCGGGGAUCUUAUGGAAGAAUCGCUACUGUUUGGCCACAUUUGCCAUCAGCUCUCGAUUCAGUAUUUCCGAUCGGGUUCGACGAAGUUCGCUUCAUUUUCAAGCUGAUUGGCAACUGACGACUAGCGGUGGGAGGGUAUUGAGGCGCUGCAUACCGAACCAAAAAUGAAGUCCGGUCGAAGAAAAAUAGUUAGUGCUAAAUUUGGUGCAACCGAACGAACAAAUGCUACUUCUAGGCGAAUAUACUACAGAUAGAAGAACUGACGAUAUCGGUUAAAAUAUUAAAUUUAUGAAACGUGGUUGAUACGAUGUGACCUUGGUGGUUCUGAAGGCCUUGCUUCUAUAUCUGGUUAUUUUUGUAUUUGCAUAAUCUGUGAGCGUUUAGUGUGUGUACCAGUUGUUAGCAGAAACGCCAGUUUCUGUUGAGCGGAUCGGCGAAAUCAUAGAGUCAAACAUUGAAAGGGUGUCGUGUUGUGUAAAUGUGCUCCUGUUCCCCAGUUAGAACAGAUAAUGACACUACUGUUCAGGUGGGCAUCACUGCAGUGUGUGUAAAUGUGGUGGGCAUAUUCCCUGGUGUCGUUUAAAUGCUCGGAACGUCUCCUUAUUGUGUCAGUGGAUAUAUCGAAAUAAUUGAAGGACGGCGCCUAUAGUAGGUGUAUUCACAGCUGUUGCGUUGACUUUGGCAAUUGAAACUAUAUGAUUAUUUGUGCCUUGAGGAUUUGUACUUUACGUUUUUGGAUGCAGUUAUCGGCCUUCCGCAGGGGUAAGUGGGUCCGGGUAACUGUUUCAAGUUGCCUAACGAAACUUGUGUGAAGACCGACCGGAGAACUUCCUUCGCCAAUAGCAUCCAGCUGCGUAUAUUCAAACGAUCGUAUGUGUUUGCAGAGCUGCACAGUGUUUUCUGUUCAUUUGAUAAUUUCAGUGAACUCGUGUAAUUUUCUGUAUAAAUAUGGCGUCAUAAACGUUCAAGGUCGUUCUGACACUAACCAUUCGAUUUUACAAAACGUGGUCGCUUUCGGCUUUUUUGAUCAGCCGUUUCACUUAUAGACCGUACCCUGUCACCUUCGUAUAUGGGGCUAACCUAUGGGACCGAUAAUCCCGUGCGUGCUGCCAUGCACGACAAGUUAUCCUAUUAGCAAGCAGUAGAAAGUCUCUCUCGCUAGAAAUUCUGUGUUUUCUCAUGAAAACAAAGGUGGAAUCAUAACAAGAUCAUAUGAACAAAACGGGGUGAACUGUUAACGGGAAAAGGCAGGAGAACUGGAAAGCUGUCGUGAGCAAGCAUGAGCUACUGACGGCAUUUUCCACGUACGCCGGCGUCGUCGAAAGCAAGCACCGGCCGGAAAAGUUCCCACAGACUAAGGUUCGUGAGUGCAGGCGAAUGCUUCACGCGAAAGACUUUGGUGAAAAAGCCAGGAAAAGUCAGCUAGACAUAUCUGCAAAGAAAACGAUGGCGGAUGCCUCCUAGGGGCCGCGCACUACUAGAGCAAAGGAAACUACUGCUAACUGGCAUGGAUUGACGUAAAGAAAGGACUAUUUAUAGAUCGGAGCUCAGGGCGACGUAAAACCGACGUGCACAUGGCAUGUGACAUCGUCAGAAAGUAAUAUAAUGCUUAUGCCAGCUAACUGGUGAGCAGGAGCCAAUCAAAAACAUCAGUGGAAAGAAAGAUAGAUUCUAGACUCUACUGUUUCUAACACUACAGGUGCUGGCUUGCCUGUACGAUCACUUUUGGCCUUUUCCGUGUGUGUCAUCGCAAAUUGCCCCGGAGUAAACAUCCAAGCCGAGACUCCUUUCUACCUUAUCAACGUUUGCUAUGCAAAUGUGAAUUGAAAAUGUUUAGAAAACUUUUGCCCUCAACCUGGAAGCAAACAAAGAAAAAUACGCGGAAACGUGAAACAGCGGUCAGGAUACUGUCCUGCGUGGAAGACGUUGUGCGUUGUUCAUAAUGUUUCUGCGUGUCUGUUCGACAACACGAGGGAGAUAGCGGCGCCGGUUAGCUAUAGGAGACGAAAGAAAUGGAACGAAGGCGCCUUAUUCACUUCUAAGCGCGUUCCUUGGUGCGCUGUUAUCACGGCCGUCGAAGGCACAGCAACGGUGCUAAUCACACUCGCUGGAGUGGAACCACCAGAAGUGGUCCUUAUCCCGUGAAGGCGCGAAAAACUUCCUCUGACUCAGCGUUACUGGGCGCCUCUCAAGUGGAGUUCGUCUCCGCCGGUCUGUAGUCGAGGACAGCGACGGAGAGGAGGACGGACGACAGACCUUUUAUUACAGGAAGAGCAGGCCGGCAAGCAAGGAGGCCAAGUCCGAAAAAAAAAAGCUGUGUAAAAAGGGUUUUCAAGAAUGUGAGGUGCGAGCUGAAAGUCUUUUUAUAUAUACACGCACAGCAUGGCGGCAUUGCCGAGAAGACGUGGUGGACUAGAGAACUUAUCACAUGCUUGUUCGGUAAGGAAGCAGAACAAAUUGUCUGUACUGCUCUGCUACACUCGCUUCUUAUCCAUCUUCUGGUGAAUGAUAACAUUCAGCGGAAUGCUUGUAAGACAGAGAGGUAAGGAAUUUGUAUGUGCGUAAGGUGUAGCCGGUGAUUGUGCCGGUAUUACACAUUCGGAGAUACGAAUAGGGGUCGAGUUCCUCUUGUCGUUCGUCGAACGGAAUGGCAGCAGCUUGACUUCGUUAGAAUGACUGGGUAGCUGGAGUGACGGGAUAGGUAAACGUCACAAGUUGAAGCUGGACGGACCGAACCGGAAAUCGCCAUCCAUGCGGAGGCUUAGAUCUGGGUUUUUGCCACUUUACCGGUUGUUCGCUUCUAUCAGUAAUCUUGUACCUUCCGAUUUUCUUUCCUCUCGCCGAGCUUGCUGAGCCAAAGUUUUGACAAAAAGACUCACAAGACCAUGCAUAGCUUCGCGGGGCGACUUUGCCUCUACAAAGCCGGUGAAGAUGACGACGACGACGACGACGACGACGACGGCGGCUAGAUCUCCUUCUCGUUCGGUACUUAGCUAAGCGUUAGAAAGACCACGAACCAAAUGUUGCAUUACCCCAUUACAUAGGCACAAUAUAGAGCGUCAAUUCAAUCUGAAAUUAACGCAACGAAACAAAUGUCUGUAUUAUGUUAAUAUAAAUUUGGAUCCGUUCUUUUACGUGUCAAACAAACAUAACAGCACGAGUUUUUCGUAUCCGUAAUCCGCUAAUAGGCAACGGCCCGCUUUAAGAAUCGACCAAACGACGCGCGACCUGUUGUAAAGGGUUUAUCAAGAGAGCUGCACGAAGCUUCGAGCAGACGAGUGUACUGUGUUAGCUGCUGAGUACUAACUAUAAAAGGGUCGCUUUACGAAUCACGAUGCCGUUCGUCGUAUGCACCCGAUUAAGGGGCAUUUUAAGUUGA